GGGGAAGUUUUCACAUGGGGAUUCAACAAGGAAGGACAGCUUGGUUAUGGUACCUCCAAUUCAGCAUCGAACUAUACCCCAAGAAUGGUCGAAUACUUGAAAGGAAAGGUUUUCAAAGGAGUUUCUGCAGCAAAGUAUCAUACGAUAGUACUAGGAGCUGAUGGAGAGGUAUUUACAUGGGGUCAUCGUCUUGUGAGUCCAAGGCGAGUUAUUG
rnacentral:misc_RNA from 1 species